CAUGUAGGUGGCUACCGCCCUCGUUAUUUAAGAACUAAUUGAUUUUUAGCUCCUGGAGUGAGGGGCAGGCAGAAAAAUGUAAAAGCAAAGAGGCCAGACCAGAGGGCACCGUGGAAGCCAUAGCGGUGGACCCCCAAGUGGAGAAGGAAGAAGGGGUCUGCGGGGCCUCCCUCUGCAUAGGUGAGCCUCUCCCAGGAUAGGGCUAAGAGGGGCAUUGUCAGUUCUUGAGCAGGGCUUCUUGACUUUCUUUUUUUCAUUGUUUUUAGUGAUCAAUAAAACUUAUAAUAUAUAUUAAAAUGCAAAGAAGCUUAAUUUCAUAGAAAAGCCUCAAUUGUUUCAUCAGAGAAAGAGAAGCUGUGAGACCCCAAGUUUUCACUCUCAAGUGGGACCUUUCCUUCUUCUCCUGGCAGCUCAUUAGGGCCAGGAGAUUGACAGCAACUGCAAGCUUCAGAAGAUCCUAUUUUGCAGAUGGGAAGUAUUCGCAAGAAAUUUAAAUGUGGGUGCACGCUGUUCUUCCUGCGGAGACCUCCAGAGGUUCAGACAGAUGGACACGUGCCUAGAGAGGGUUCACCACAGUGACACCUCCAUUGAGAGAGCUGGGAGAAGCCUGGCCCCAGGAGCAUCAGAAGACAAAGACCCUGAGAUGAGAAGGCACCUUAAAGUGAGGAUGGCUUGUCCCAGCGAACUCGGAACCCUCCUGGAAUCAGGGUUAGAGGUGGACACUGGUGUGUCUCAAUGGUCGUGUCCAGCGCCCUGGCCAGCCCUCAUGCUCACCACUCCUCUGCAGCAAGCUGAGCCUUAUGUCUAAAUUUAUUUCUUAUUCCAGUUGUCCAGAAAAUUAUUCUCUGAAGAUUUCCUUUGUAGUUUUGAGUGGUUUUAUUUUGUUCAGGCAAAAUGUAUCAUUUAGGAUGAAAACCUGUCCCAGGAGAUUGUGCCAUGUCAUCUCUUUCCAAGAAAAGAAAUUGAUCUUUCUGCCAGCACAGUGGUUCACACCUGUAAUCCCAGCACUUUGGGAGGCCGAGGCGGGCAGAGAUGGUGAAACCCCCGUCUCUACUAAAAAUACAAAAAAUUAGCCAGGCGUGGUGGCGCUUGCCUGUAAUCUCAGCUACUCGGGAGGUUGAGGCAGGAGAAUCGCUUGAACCUGGGAUGGGGAGGCUGCAGUGAGCCAAGAUCGUGCCAUUGCGCUCCAGCCCCAGCAACAGUGCGAGACUCUGUCUCAAAAGAAAAACACAAAUUGAUCUUUCUCGGGCAGUCAGAAGAUCCUAUUUUCUUACAGAAGUCUCAACUAUUUAUUUUACCCAAAGUAAAAGAGAAAUAUGUUUAAGGGGAAAGGGCAAGAAAGGGCCACUAGUGACCCUUUUUACCACGCCCCGCGCGUCUCGAGCACACCUUGAUGAUUAAUUCCAUCAACCUUCAAGUCCCCAAAAUGGUCCCUUGCAGGAUCGUUGCUGAGGCAGAGCUGGGUUCACGAGACCCCCUGGAGAGAGGUGGGGGUUGCAGCCUGGCAAGAGCUAAGAGCAGAAAAUUAGUGUGGGGUGUUCAUAGGUUUUGGGCCGGGGACGGGAGGCAUGAGAGCCAAGAACUGGCUUGUAUGGAGCAAAGUUAAUGAGGAAACUUUAGGUUGGUAGGAAGAGCAGACGUCUUCCGGGCAGGAGCCUCCAGGAGCCGUUGCUGGUGUUGAGAAGGAAGUGACUUGGUUGGUUGGUUCCUAGGCUUAGCUCUCACGGGCAGGUACUUCCUGGAGAAAUCAGGGAAGAUCCUUUUGCUGGUCCCAGUAUUGUUUAACACAGGGACAAGGAAUUACAGUGGUUUCCGUUCUUACUAGUAGAUAACGUCUAAAAAGUUUUCUAAGCUUUUUCCCUCGCCGGGUCCCUAGGUGAAACUAGAUAAAGAGAGUAAGUUUCAUUGAUCUUAAAUCUUUAAUUAUGCAUGAAAUGAUGUAUUGAGUUUAGCUUAGUUAAUGUGCCUGGAAAAGCAUACAAAUAAUUAUAGCCAUAUGAUCUAUUCUGAAUGUGCUAUUAUAAGUGAAACUUUUCAACCACUCUUCUAUGCAUGAGUUCG
rnacentral:lncRNA from 10 species